rnacentral:misc_RNA from 1 species
GAGAACGUGAUUUAUGAAAUGUAUUAAUGUAUUCUUUGGCUCUAAAAUUGCAUCUCCUUAUUCUCCAGUCACGAUAAAAUAAAAUAUUUGUGGAUGAGGAAAAAUAUACUCACGCAGGGUAAGCCAAAGAAAAGGAAUAACACAGAAACUUUAGUAGAAACCCAAGGAAAAACAGCUUUGUGAUGAAAGCAAACCUUAAAAGGGUACAUACAAAAAUAUACCAAACUGAUUUCAUAGAGAGGAUUUUCCUGGCAUGGUCACCACUUCCACAGGGAAUUAAAACACACACUGAUGGCAGAAUUUAUAUGGUUCAAAACAAUGACCUAUCUUUCUUUUUCACGAUUUGCUAAAGCUUGGUUCCCCUGUAUUGUCGCAGAUGGCAUUCAUAGAGAUUCCAAGCAAUAUGUAGAACAGACAGCUUAUGUUCACUGCUUCUUCUCUUCUGCCUUCCUAGGCUUGGUACCAGGAGCAGGCUGGUUGAGCUCUUCCUCUGGAAUAAUAACAGGCCACUUCUCUCCAGCUUCACGGAACAUUUGCUCCGUCUCGAGGUACUGACCCUUCUGCAAAAUCAUGUUCCUUAUGGUCUGAGCAGAAAUAGUAGUGCCAUCAAAAACCUCCUCGACUCCGUUGACAAAAGUGACAGUGAUUUGUGGCGGGUGAUCGUCGGUUCGGCGCUUGACCAAAACCUGGCAAGCGGGGUUCGAUUCCUUGGCCUUGCGGGCGUUGCAUUGGGCUAAGAACUCCAUGCAAGAGGCUGUACGAGGGUCUAGCGCAUUGAACUCAAUUCGUACCUUUGAUAGGAACUUCAGCAUCUUCUUGCUCUCCGGCCUCUGCUGCGCACCGAUUGUGUUCGGUUUUGCACAACUGAACCAGAGUGAGUAUCCAGCCUAGCCCUUGCAAGGCUUUUU